AUUGAACGCUGGCGGCAUGCCUUACACAUGCAAGUCGAACGGUAACAGGUCUCCGGAUGCUGACGAGUGGCGAACGGGUGAGUAAUACAUCGGAACGUGCCCGAUCGUGGGGGAUAACGCAGCGAAAGCUGUGCUAAUACCGCAUACGAUCUACGGAUGAAAGCGGGGGAUCGCAAGACCUCGCGCGGACGGAGCGGCCGAUGGCAGAUUAGGUAGUUGGUGGGGUAAAGGCUCACCAAGCCUGCGAUCUGUAGCUGGUCUGAGAGGACGACCAGCCACACUGGGACUGAGACACGGCCCAGACUCCUACGGGAGGCAGCAGUGGGGAAUUCUGGACAAUGGGCGCAAGCCUGAUCCAGCCAUGCCGCGUGCAGGAUGAAGGCCUUCGGGUUGUAAACUGCUUUUGUACGGAACGAAAAGGUUCUUUCUAAUAAAGAGAGCCCAUGACGGUACCGUAGGAAUAAGCACCGGCUAACUACGUGCCAGCCGCCGCGGUAA
rnacentral:rRNA from 1 species